CCUACGGGCGGCAGCAGUAGGGAAUAUUGCACAAUGGGGGGAACCCUGAUGCAGCGACGCCGCGUGAGUGAAGAAGUAUUUCGGUAUGUAAAGCCCUAUCAGCAGGGAAGAAAAUGACGGUACCUGACUAAUAAGCCCCGGCUAACUCCGUGCCAGCAGCCGCGGUAAUACGUAGGGGGCAAGCGUUAUCCGGAUUUACUGGGUGUAAAGGGAGCGUAGACGGGAGGGCAAGUCUGGAGUGAAAGCCUGGGGCCUAACCACGGGACUGCUUUGGAAACUGGCAUGCUAGAGUACUGGAGAGGUAAGCGGAAUUCGUGGUGUAGGGGUGAAAUGCGUAGAGAUUAGGAGGAACACCAGUGGCGAAGGCGGCUUACUGGACAAUAACUGACGUUGAGGCUCGAAAGCGUGGGGAGCAAACAGGAUUAGAUACCCUUGUAGUC
rnacentral:rRNA from 1 species